rnacentral:lncRNA from 1 species
GUUUGCUAAGAUUUCCAAUGGAAGAUGGAAUAGUCUCAAGCUUUGUGCAAUUUCGCAAGCUCAAUUCUUCAAGCCCGGCCAAAUGGUGGAAGGAUGAAGGUAUUUUUUUUAUUGUUGUUUUAUCUAAGAUGAGCACUUCUAGAUUUUCCAUAGUCACCUCGAGUUCAGGAAAAGUUUCAAGUGAUUCACAGUUAGUAAGGUCUAACUUGAUGAGUUUGCUUAGGUUUCCAAUGGAAGAUGGAAUGGUCUUAAGCUUUGUGCAAUUUCGCAAACUCAAUUCUUCAAGCCCAACCAAAUGGUGAAAGGAUGAAGUUAGUUCUUUUAUUGUUGUUUCGUCUAAGAUGAGGACUUCUAGAUUUUCCAUAGUCACCUCGAGUUCAGGAAAAGUUUCAAGUGAUUCACAGUCACUAAGGUCUAACUUGACGAGGUUGCUAAGAUUUCCAAUGGAAGAUGGAAUAAUCUUAAGCUUUGUGCAACUUCGCAAGUUCAAUUCUUCAAGCCCGGCCAAAUGGUGGAAGGAUGAAGGAAGUUCUUUUAUUGCUGUUUUGUCUAAGAUGAGCACUUCAAGAUUUUCCAUAGUCACCUUGAGUUCAGGAAAAGUUUCAAGUGAUUCACAGUCAGUAAGGUCUAACUUGAUGAGUUUGCUGAGAUUUCCAAUUGAAGACGGAAUAUUCUUAAGCUUUGUGCAACUUCGCAAGCUCAAUUCUUCAAGGCCGACCAAAUGGUGCAAGGAUGAAGGUAGUUCUUUUAUGGUUGUUUCUUCUAAGAUGAGCACUUCUAGAUUUUCCAUAAUUACCUCAAGUUCAGGAAAAGUUUCAAGUGAUUCACAGCAAGUAAGGUCUAACUUGAUGAGUUUGCUGAGAUUUCCAAUGGAAGAUGGAAUAGUCUUAAGCUUUGUGCAACUUCGUAAGCUUAAUUCUUCGAGUCCGACCAAAUGGUGCAAGGAUGAAGGC